CAGCAGCCGCGGUAAUACGAAGGGGGCUAGCGUUGCUCGGAAUUACUGGGCGUAAAGGGCGCGUAGGCGGACAGUUCAGUCGGGGGUGAAAGCCCGGGGCUCAACCUCGGAAUUGCCUUCGAUACUGGCUGUCUUGAGUGUGAGAGAGGUGUGUGGAACUCCGAGUGUAGAGGUGAAAUUCGUAGAUAUUCGGAAGAACACCAGUGGCGAAGGCGACACACUGGCUCACUACUGACGCUGAGGCACGAAAGCUAGGGGAGCAAACAGGAUUAGAGACCCCGGUAGUCCCUGUCUCUUAUAC
rnacentral:rRNA from 1 species